GGAAGAUUCAAUAAAUUUCUUUUCAGUUUUAAAAGAAUAUACUUACUAACAGAAUUGUUGCUAACAAAGCAAAGAAUCUUGGAGUACAAGAUAAUAACUGAUUAAGAGUUAUCCCCUCUGCAUUCAUGAUAGAAACUAUGCCGUUCUCUUGGGUGCGAUGAAAAUCUAGCAUUAAGUCGAAAUAUAAAAGCAUUGUCCGGAGUAUAUCAUAUGCGGAUGAAACAGAUGUAUCCCAACUAGCUGGAAAAAACCAUUCGAAAAUUAAUGGCUAAUUUAGAAAAUAAAAUUAUGCGUAUUUAAUUAAAUAAUUAAAAUGGACGAAAAAUAUAAAAGGAAAUUGUAUGGAUUCUUUUAUAAAUUAUCUUAUUUUGUUUAUUGAUUCAAUGUUUAUAAACGUUGAUAAUCUUUUUAAAAAUUUUGUUAAACAUCCAGAUCCCAUUUUGAAUCACACAUCUGCACAUGCGCCAGGUUGUGAGUCCUAUCGUUGUUUUCGUAGCUGUUUCGUUCAUAUUGUUGACCGAAAAAAUAGUCUUUUAUCGUUGUUGUUUUCGGACUAGCUGAUACAAUCCAGAAUAUAGAUGACUGACAAUAAAUUUGUAGGUCUAUUAUACUUAUUACUCGAUGAUAGAAAAUGGCAUGAAGAUGAUAAAGAAUAAUCCCUUGGUUUCUGAGACCAAACAGAAAUAAAUGUAAGUUACACUACAAAAAUAU
rnacentral:lncRNA from 1 species